rnacentral:rRNA from 1 species
UACGGAGGGGGCAAGCGUUGUUCGGAAUUACUGGGCGUAAAGGGCUCGUAGGCGGCCAACUAAGUCCGACGUGAAAUCCCAAGGCUUAACCUUGGAACUGCGUCGGAUACUGGAUGGCUUGAAUUCGGGAGAGGGAUGCAGAAUUCCAGGUGUAGCGGUGAAAUGCGUAGAUAUCUGGAGGAAUACCGGUGGCGAAGGCGGCAUCCUGGACCGACAUUGACGCUGAUGAGCGAAAGCUAGGGGAGCAAACGGG